CUUUAUUUUAUUUUAUAUGUGUGAGUGCAGUAAUUGAUAUUAAUAAUUAAUUAUUUAGAUUUAGCUAUAAAAGAUAUAAGAGGUAAACCCUGUGCCAGCAUCCGCGGUCAUACCGGGUCUUGGAGUAACUUUUUUAAGAAAAUUUCUUUUUCUUUUUUAAUAAUGAUUACUUUUAUAAAAGUGAAAUUUGAAUUUUUUUGUGAAGAUUUAAGUGAGAGAAGAUUGGAGUAUUUAAAAAACUGGGAUUAGAUACCCCACUAUUUUAUUUUUUUCUUUUCUUGGGUAGUAAACUUUAAACCUAAAGAAUUUGGCGGUUCUUAAACUUACUAGAGGAACCUGUCCUGUAAUCGAUAGUCCACGAAGAUAUGUACCUGUUCUUGUUUCAGCUUAUAUACCGCCGUUUAGUGAACUAAAUUAAUAGUUUCUCUUAAUUAAUUAGUUAAGUAAAUCAGGUCAAGGUGUAGUUUAUGAACAGGUAGAGAUGGGUUACAAUAAAAGUUUAAACGGAAUAAAUUAUUUUAUUUUAGUUUUGAAGGCGGAUUUAGAAGUAAAUAUUAAAUAUUUGAAGGAAGCUCUUGAGAAUGUACACAUCGCCCGUCGCUCUCUUGUCUGAAGAGAUAAGUCGUAACAAAGUAGAUAAACCGGAAGGUUUAUCUUGAAAG
rnacentral:ncRNA from 1 species